rnacentral:rRNA from 1 species
GUGUUCCACGCUGUCGGUUCGCCGCCCGUCGGUGUUAACUGGCAUGUCCUGUGGAACGUCCUGCCGGUGGCGGUCCGGGCUCUCGGCUUGCGUAAAGGCUACUGCCCGAAGCAGGUCGAACGGUACCGGCCGCCGGUCCAAUCCCGCCACGGUGCUCUUCACCGAGUGUCGAGGUGGGCCGGCACGUUUACUUUGAACAAAUUAGAGUGCUUAAAGCAGGCUGGUUUCCGCCUGAAUACUGUGUGCAUGGAAUAAUAGAAUAGGACCUCGGUUCUAUUUUGUUGGUUUUCGGAACCCGAGGUAAUGAUUAAUAGGGACAGGCGGGGGCAUUCGUAUUGCGACGUUAGAGGUGAAAUUCUUGGAUCGUCGCAAGACGAACCUAAGCGAAAGCAUUUGCCAAGUAUGUUCUCGUUAAUCAAGAACGAAAGUUAGAGGUUCGAAGGCGAUCAGAUACCGCCCUAGUUCUAACCAUAAACGAUGCCAGCCAGCGAUCCGCCGAAGUUCCUCCGAUGACUCGGCGGGCAGCUUCCGGGAAACCAAAGCUUUUGGGUUCCGGGGGAAGUAUGGUUGCAAAGCUGAAACUUAAAGGAAUUGACGGAAGGGCACCACCAGGAGUGGAGCCUGCGGCUUAAUUUGACUCAACACGGGAAACCUCACCAGGCCCGGACACCGGAAGGAUUGACAGAUUGAGAGCUCUUUCUUGAUUCGGUGGGUGGUGGUGCAUGGCCGUUCUUAGUUGGUGGAGCGAUUUGUCUGGUUAAUUCCGAUAACGAACGAGACUCUAGCCUGCUAACUAGGCGAUUUCCGGUACCCACAAUAGUGUUACCGGCGAUUCAAUUUCUUCUUAGAGGGACAGGCGGCUCCUAGCCGCACGAGACUGAGCAAUAACAGGUCUGUGAUGCCCUUAGAUGUCCUGGGCCGCACGCGCGCUACACUGAAGGAAUCAGCGUGUCUUCCCUGGCCGACAGGCCCGGGUAACCCGUUGAACCUCCUUCGUGCUAGGGAUUGGGGCUUGCAAUUGUUCCCCAUGAACGAGGAAUUCCCAGUAAGCGCGAGUCAUAAGCUCGCGUUGAUUACGUCCCUGCCCUUUGUACACACCGCCCGUCGCUACUACCGAUUGAAUGAUUUAGUGAGGUCUUCGGACUGGUGCGCGGCGGUCGGCUUUGCCGGCCGCCGAUGUUGCCGGAAAGAUGACCAAACUUGAUCAUUUAGAGGAAGUAAAAGU